rnacentral:rRNA from 1 species
AACGAACGCUGGCGGCAUGCCUAACACAUGCAAGUCGAACGAGACCUUCGGGUCUAGUGUCGCACGGGUGCGUAACGCGUGGGAACCUGCCCUUAGGUUCGGAAUAACUCCCCGAAAGGGGUGCUAAUACCGGAUAAUGUCUUCGGACCAAAGAUUUAUCGCCUUUGGAUGGGCCCGCGUUGGAUUAGCUAUUUGGUAGGGUAAAAGCCUACCAAGGCGACGAUCCAUAGCUGGUCUGAGAGGAUGAUCAGCCACACUGGGACUGAGACACGGCCCAGACUCCUACGGGAGGCAGCAGUGGGGAAUAUUGGACAAUGCGCGAAAGCCUGAUCCAGCAAUGCCGCGUGAGUGAUGAAGGCCUUAGGGUUGUAAAGCUCUUUUACCCGGGAUGAUAAUGACAGUACCGGGAGAAUAAGCUCCGGCUAACUCCGU